UCAGGUAUCUAACCGUCCUGCGAGUGCCAGAUCCCGUUUGUUCUUGGAAACUAACAGGACCGGGUCUGGUUAGUACUUAGAUGGUAUAGUCCAGUAGUCAGUCUUAGUGUCAGUCCCAAGCCUGAC
rnacentral:rRNA from 12 species